rnacentral:misc_RNA from 1 species
UCCGACUUGAAGGUCGGCAGUCCCGUUAGAGUGCCCACCAUAACGUGCUGGUAACUAAGGACAAGGGUUGCGCUCGUUACGGGACUUAACCCAACAUCUCACGACACGAGCUGACGACAGCCAUGCAGCACCUGUCUCAAUGUUCCCGAAGGCACCAAUCCAUCUCUGGAAAGUUCAUUGGAUGUCAAGGCCUGGUAAGGUUCUUCGCGUUGCGUCGAAUUAAACCACAUGCUCCGCUGCUUGUGCGGGUCCCCGUCAAUUCCUUUGAGUUUUAGCCUUGCGGCCGUACUCCCCAGGCGGGGCACUUAGUGCGUUAGCUCCGGCACGGGAGGAGUCGACACCUCCCACACCUAGUGCCCAUCGUUUACGGCGUGGACUAC